UACGGGAGGCAGCAGGGGGGAAUUUUCCGCAAUGGGCGAAAGCCUGACGGAGCAAUACCGCGUGAGGGAAGACGGCCUAUGGGUUGUAAACCUCUUUUUUCAGGGAGGAACAAAAUGACGUGUACCUGAAGAAUAAGCAUCGGCUAACUCCGUG
rnacentral:rRNA from 1 species